UGGGGGAUAUUGCACAGUGGGGGAAACCCUGAUGCAGCGACGCCGCGUGGAGGAAGAAGGUUUUCGGAUUGUAAACUCCUGUCGUUAGGGACGAUAAUGACGGUACCUAACAAGAAAGCACCGGCUAACUACGUGCCAGCAGCCGCGGUAAAACGUAGGGUGCAAGCGUUGUCCGGAAUUACUGGGUGUAAAGGGAGCGCAGGCGGACCGGCAAGUUGGAAGUGAAAACUAUGGGCUCAACCCAUAAAUUGCUUUCAAAACUGCUGGCCUUGAGUAGUGCAGAGGUAGGUGGAAUUCCCGGUGUAGCGGUGGAAUGCGUAGAUAUCGGGAGGAACACCAGUGGCGAAGGCGACCUACUGUGCACCAACUGACGCUGAGGCUCGAAAGCAUGGGUAGCAAACAGGAUUAGAUACCCUGGUAGUCCAUGCCGUAAACGAUGAUUACUAGGUGUUGGAGGAUUGACCCCUUCAGUGCCGCAGUUAACACAAUAAGUAAUCCACCUGGGGAGUACGACCGCAAGGUUGAAACUCAAAGGAAUUGACGGGGGCCCGCACAAGCAGUGGAGUAUGUGAUUUAAUUCGAAGCAACGCGAAGAACCUUACCAGGUCUUGACAUCCGAUGCAUAGCUUAGAGAUAAGUGAAGUCCUUCGGGACAUCGAGACAGGUGGUGCAUGGUUGUCGUCAGCUCGUGUCGUGAGAUGUUGGGUUAAGUCCCGCAACGAGCGCAACCCUUAUUGCCAGUUACUACGAAAGAGGACUCUGGCGAGACUGCCGUUGACAAAACGGAGGAAGGUGGGGAUGACGUCAAAUCAUCAUGCCCUUUAUGACCUGGGCUACACACGUACUACAAUGGCGUUUAACAAAGAGAAGCAAGACCGCGAGGUGGAGCAAAACUCAAAAACAACGUCUCAGUUCAGAUUGCAGGCUGCAACUCGCCUGCAUGAAGUCGGAAUUGCUAGUAAUCGCGGAUCAGCAUGCCGCGGUGAAUACGUUCCC
rnacentral:rRNA from 1 species